AUUGAACGCUGGCGGCAGGCCUAACACAUGCAAGUCGAGCGAGCGGCGGACGGGUGAGUAAUGUAUGGGGACUGCCCGAUAGAGGGGGAUAACUACUGGAAACGGUGGCUAAUACCGCAUACUAUCGGAUAACCCAUAUGGGAUUAGCUAGUAGGUGGGGUAAAGGCUCACCUAGGCGACGAUCCCUAGCUGGUCUGAGAGGAUGAUCAGUAACAGUGGGACUGAGGCAUGGCACAGACUCAUACGGGCACAGCCUUUGGAAAUUGUGCACGAGGGGCGCAAGCCUGAUGAAGCCAUGCCGCAUAUCUGAAGAAGGCCUUCGGGUGGUAAAGUACUAUAAUCGGGGAGGCGUUAUCCGCAGAAGAAGAACCGGCUAACUCCGUACCAGCAGCCGCGGUAAAAG
rnacentral:rRNA from 1 species